rfam:Plautia stali symbiont DNA, complete genome.
CAGCAUAUUGAUUGCUGAAAGCCAAGGGCGGUAGCGUG